UACGUAGGGGGCAAGCGUUGUCCGGAAUCAUUGGGCGUAAAGAGCGUGUAGGCGGCCCGAUAAGUCCGCUGUGAAAGUCCAGGGCUCAACCCCUGGGAUGCCGGUGGAUACUGUCGGGCUCGAGUCCGGAAGAGGCGAGUGGAAUUCCUGGUGUAGCGGUGAAAUGCGCAGAUAUCAGGAGGAACACCAAUGGCGAAGGCAGCUCGCUGGGACGUGACUGACGCUGAGACGCGAAAGCGUGGGGAGCAAACAGG
rnacentral:rRNA from 1 species